rnacentral:rRNA from 1 species
UACGUAGGGGCAAGCGUUGUCCGGAAUGAUUGGGCGUAAAGGGCGCGUAGGCGGCUCUGUAAGUCUGGAGUGAAAGUCCUCUUUUCAAGGGAGGAAUUGCCUUGGAAACUAUAAAGCUUGAGUGCAGGAGAGGUUAUCGGAAUUCCCAGUGUAGCGGUGAAAUGCGUAGAUAUCGGGAGGAACAUCGGUGGCGAAGGCGGGUAACUGGACUGCAACUGACGCUGAGGCGCGAAAGUGUGGGGAGCAAACAGGAUUAGAUACCCUGGUAGUCCCU